CAUAAUUAUAUACAUAUAUAAUUUCUUUUAAGUGUGGUACACAUACAGUAAAACUAUCAAUCACAAAACAUGCAGGAUCUUUAACAAUAUAAAUUGUUCCUUGUAUUGUAGGGGCCUUUACAAAUGUACUGUUUGUGAGAAGUUGACCUGAGCAAUGGAUGGAGAAAGAGGAACUAAAUUUUCUGCCGCUAAAGAUUCACGAUAUAUGUAAAGUCUGGGAAAGCAGUGAUCCCUCGGAAGCAUUUAUAAAAAAUUACAUGAAAAUUUCAUGCUCGGUUUGAUGAAGUCAUUAAUGAAGGAUAGUCAAACCAUCAACUUUAUAUUCUUCUAUCUGACAGGUUCUUUUCAUAUUGUCUGAAUAUUCAAAUAGAUUUAAUUGUAUUGAAAAUGUGUUUAUAUACAUAUAUUUUGUAUAAUUCAGUAUACUAUAUAAUAUAAUGGAGGUAAGAUGUCUUCAAAAAGAGAAACCUGAAAAUAAAGGAUGGUAUUAUGUACCAACACAAGGUCAGUUUAAAGAAAGGGAAGACAUGUACGGAAGUCAGGAGAUGGUGAAGGCUUGAGAAUUAGGGAAAUAACUUGUUACUAAGAUAUGUCGUACAGGAUUAUUAUGAAACAAAGCCACUUAUUAUUUAAAUGCAUUGCUUUUGAACUUUUAAUGUGGUUUAUUGACAUAAUUUCCUCUUCAAAGUUUUAGACAUAAUAUAGAUAUAUGAGGAUUUUCAAAUAAACUUUAAGUAACCUGAAUUAAAGAAGAAUUGAAGAAUAAAGUGUUAGAUAUUGUAUGAAACAUAUUGUUUUGCAUCAAAUUUUGUGAAUAAACAUUGAUUUAUCAAUUUA